rnacentral:rRNA from 1 species
UACGAAGGGGGCUAGCGUUGCUCGGAAUCACUGGGCGUAAAGGGCGCGUAGGCGGCGUUUUAAGUCGGGGGUGAAAGCCUGUGGCUCAACCGCAGAAUGGCCUUCGAUACUGGGACGCUUGAGGAUGGUAGAGGUUGGUGGAACUGCGAGUGUAGAGGUGAAAUUCGUAGAUAUUCGCAAGAACACCGGUGGCGAAGGCGGCCAGCUGGACCAUUACUGACGCUGAGGCGCGAAAGCGUGGGGAGCAAACAGG